UUGCUUCCACUGAGAAGAUAGUGGGCGAACGGGUGAGUAACACUGGGUAACCUGCCCAUAAGAGGGGGAGUAACAUCCGGAAACGGGUGCUAAUACCGCAUAGUUUUCUUGAUUGCAUGAUUGAGAAAGGAAAGACGGCCUUUGUGCUGUCGCUUAUGGAUGGACCCGCGGCGUAUUAGUUAGUUGGUGAGGUAACGGCUCACCAAGACGAUGAUACGUAGCCGACCUGAGAGGGUGAUCGGCCACAUUGGGACUGAGACACGGCCCAAACUCCUACGGGAGGCAGCAGUAGGGAAUCUUCCGCAAUGGACGAAAGUCUGACGGAGCAACGCCGCGUGAGUGAAGAAAAGGUUUUCGGAUCGUAAAACUCUGUUGUCAGAGAAGAACAAGUUGGAAGAGUAACUGCUCCAGCCUUGACGGUAUCUGACCAGAAAGCCACGGCUAACUAACGUGCCAGCCGCUGC
rnacentral:rRNA from 1 species